ensembl:lncRNA
CAUGAAUCAGCUUCUAUAGCUUUCCAUGUUGGGAAAUAUCUUCAUGUCAUGAUAAACAUAAUUUGAGAAGAAACUACUUGAGGAUAAUGCCAAUGUUUUGGUACAGACAGCCUAUAUGAAGAAAUAUCUAAGCAACUAAAGGACUCCACAUUAUUGCAUCAGAUACUUCAGUGAUGAGGAAAAUGGAGAAUCACAAAAAAUGAUCUGCCCUACCUAUCAAGACCUACGUUUAUAAAGAUGAUAGUCAUUCUAAUGAAACAUUUGUUGAUGGGAAUGUUGAGGAGAGCACUACCACCGUCUUCACCUUGAUGAAAUUUUCAUUCAUGUAUUCUAAUUGACAUUUUAAAAUUAUAA